CAAGUCCACAGAAGGCGACCCAUGGCAACUGCAUUCAAAAGCAGCUCAUCUCAGGUCUCUCGACGUUUUGGACCUGUGAAGCCUCUACAGUUACCUCAUCAGGUGGUGUUCAUCUCUUUGUGCCAGACAGUCUUGUCUCUCCCAGCAGGCAGCAUCUGAUUUCCCACCAUGCCGUGCUGCAGACAAGAUGCGGCGUCACCUCCGCCUGUCCUCCCCGCAACCUCUAACACCCUGACCCUACCCUACACACACACACACACACACACACACACACACACACACACACACACACCUACAAACACACACACACACUCUGAAGGCCUACACAAUGCCAGCCUCCAACUCACUCCACCGUCAGAGAGUUUGUCCCUGGGCUGUGUGUGUGUGUGUGUGUGUGUGUGUGUGUGUGUGUGUGUGUGUGUGUGUGUGUGUGUGUGUGUGUGCGCAUCCCUCUUUAGCCUACUAGCCAAAUAGUCUGAUGAAAAAAGAAUGUUACAGAAUCUGGAAUCUGCUUUUAUAUUACAAACACACCCUACAAGAUAAUAUUCAGAUGCCAAUGUCAGAUGAUGUAUGAUGAAGAGUUAAUAAUUACUGUAAUAAUUCCUCUCGAACAUACUGGCUCAUCUUCCAAAGUUACAGUCUUUUCAUUACAAACUUUAUCUUUGCUGAACUGCAGUGGACGGAUACUUCCUGGCAGUCAGCCUGUUUUAAAACCUACACACAACUACCAGUUGGUUCUUAAUGUGUCUAUCAUUAGAAUAUGCACAGAAUGAGGACUGUGGAUUUAGUUCCCCACCUCAUACAGUGUAACCCCACUUCACAGCCAGUAGGAAGAGGGAGAAAGAAAGAUUAUGGCAGCUUUAACUCUGUCAAUGUAACACUGUCAUGUGAGUGUGAACCUGCAUUUAAAAUAGUAUUCUUUUUCACAUUAACACAAUAGCAACCCUGUUUCUGCUCUACACUCACACAAAAUAUCCAUUGCUUUUAAUGACAUUUCAUCUCAAAGCGUUUCUUUUUUUAAACGUAAGGCCUACAGAGUCAGGUUUCAUUAUCUUCAUCAACAGGACUCACAGCAAUUUUAACAACAUGACAUUUUUGUCUUCUCAGUAAACCGGGUGAAAUCCAUUAACAAUGAACUACCAUGUAAACAAGUUAUGGCAUGAAUAAAAUGUAACAUCUUUUUUUACUUACAUUUGCAAGAUUUUUUUUCGACAUACAGUUUUUGUCUUAACCGUUGCAAUUAAUCAUUUGUUUUCAUAUAAUUACUGUAUGAAUCCUUAAAGGAUGUAUUUUACUAUUUGUUUGGACACUUCUGUUUAAGGAUUAAUAAAGUUUAUCAAGGUUUGUAGAUGAACAGUUGAAUUAAAUCCAACAGUGUUGAGUCUAUUUGUCAUCCUGUCAUGAUGUUAGCUCUGUAGAGUCAUACAUAUAAAACUGUCUCUGCUGUCAGCACACUGUAACAUGGCUGAUAACCUGCAUUACACACAUAACUCAUGGGCAGAAAUAAAGACUUGUGGCACUGCUGGACACACACACACUCACACACACACACACACACACACACACACACACACACACACACACACACACACUCUUGGUUAUGUGCUGGGUCAGGUGUUGAAGAGAGAAAUGUCAAGCAUCUCUUGGCCCAACCUCACUGUGACCCCGACAAAGGUCAACAGAGGUCAAUGAAACCUGACUCUGAGGAGCUAGGCUAUCUCUGUACACACUCACACACAGAUGGAGGGUGGUGGUGAUAGUGUCAGGACAGGGUGUCAGGUCAACCUGUGAAAGAGGACAGACAGGUUGAGAAAAGCCUGAGUCACAUGUUUGGAACUGUUAUAGAAUAAACACUUUUAUAUCAGAGCAUUUUGUCUUCUUGUGGUUUAAGUGCCGUUUGCAUU